rnacentral:rRNA from 1 species
UACGUAGGGGGCAAGCGUUGUCCGGAGUUACUGGCGUAAAGCGCACGCAGGCGGUCUCUUAAGUUUGGAGUGACAGUUGGUGGCUUAACUGCCAAAGUGCUUCGAAAACUGAGAGACUUGAGGGCUUCAGAGGGACACGGAAUUCCGGGUGGAGUGGUGAAAUGCGUAGAGAUCCGGAGGAACACCGAAGGCGAAGGCAGUGUCCUGGGGAGUACCUGACGCUCAGGUGCGAAAGCCAGGGGAGCGAACGGG